GCCGCUUCGGCUGGUCUCUUGCGCGCCCUCUUUCUGGAAACACCUUCUCUAUAGGGAUAAAUGCGCAAUACGGGCCGGGAGUGAAAGCAAACCGGUGCGAGGACAAGCCAUUUGUAAGACACUGGCUGAUUGCGGCCGGCAGAUAGCAUAACGAGGUUCUUCGUCAGUGGAGCUGUUUAUUGAGCAUCUGUUCUGCAAGAUGGAGGGAAGCUACAAUAAUCUGACAAGACGUCUAUUAAAAAUUACUCAUAGCUUCAAUUUUUUUUAAAUAUU